UUAUAAAAAAAUUAAAGUGAAAGCAUGUUUUAAUCCCCACUGACAUUAUUAUUAUUAUUACCAAUAUCUGCCUUUAAAAGACGACCGCAUUUCCAGUCUCCCUGUCUCAUUUGAUUUUAUGCAAAUCAAACUAAUUUAGUAUUAAGUUGUUUUUAAUCAGUGUGAUAUUACCUACUCUGAAUGUUUCACAUCAUGAUGACACACAGAGUACUAAAGCUUUCAUUUCUCUUUUCCAACAGCUGCUCAGAAACUCAAGUAAAGUUGGAAGAAGGAAGCACGAUCAGUGACGUUCUCUGUGGAACUGCUUCAAGAACUCAUUACUGCUACAUACCAGUUUUAUUAUUGUUAUUAACAAUUUCUUGGCUUGUGAUCACAGGCAGACUAACAUCUAAAAAGACUGAUGAUCCAAGGGAUCAAUUUUGAAACAGAACAGGAGGCGUAAUUUGCAAAACAUUGAAAAUCGCAAGCGAGGUGCAAAGAAAUUGUGUGACAAAGAAACUUAAGCACUUAAGGCAGACCAAAGGCACUGGCAGCAGGGAGACCAGCCCAAAGGCACUAGCAGCAGGGAGAGCAGCCCAAAGGCACUGGCAGCAGAGAGACCAGCCCAAAGGCACUGGCAGCAGGGAGAGCAGCCCAAAGGCACUGGCAGCAGGGAGAGCAGCCCAGCGACACCACUUCAGCCUUAUAGUGGAGCUUCUGCAGCUGAAGUCGUAAGAUAGAAGCUUUAUCAAGUGCCUGUAUAAAACAUACAGUCAAUGCAUUCGUCAGUGUCACUUUUUGCCCAACCAACCAAUCACAUCCUCGAUGGACUCAGUCCUAUUAACAGUCGCAGGAAAAAGUAUGUGAACCCUUUGGUAUUACCUGGAUUUCUGCAGAAAUUGGUCAUAAAACGUGACCUGAUCUUCACUUAAGUCACAACAAUAGAAAAACACAGGCUGUUUAAACUAAUACCACACAUACAAUUAUAUGUUUUCAUAUUUUUAUUGAACACCACAACUUUGGACCGUUCAGUUCAGCAAUAUUCUUGGUAUGUCAGGUGUGAAUUGAUUUCCUGAGGUAAUGCCACUGCAUCUCAGUUGGUUUGAGGUCAGGACUCCACUCCAGAAGAUGUACAUAUAGAUGUAAAUAUGUACUCUGCAUUCAAACAAGAUUUUAAGUAGCCAGGCCUAAAAAAAAAUUUAUAUGUGGCGGUCGGUGUUGGUACUUGUGAUGGAAAUUUGUCCUUUAGUGAGUCUUCUGAAAUAAAGAUUCCAAUCCAGACGUC